GGAGGGUAGAGCUCAGUGGUAGAGUGCGUGCUUAGCAUGCACGAGGUCCUGGGUUCAAUCCCCAGUACCUCCA
rnacentral:tRNA from 1 species